UACGGAGGGUGCAAGCGUUGUUCGGAAUUACUGGGCGUAAAGGGCGCGUAGGUGGUUGUGUAAGUCAGAUGUGAAAUCCCUAGGCUCAACCUUGGAACUGCAUCUGAUACUGCAUGACUCGAGUACAGCAGAGGGAAACGGAAUUCCUGGUGUAGAGGUGAAAUUCGUAGAUAUCAGGAGGAACACCGGUGGCGAAGGCGGUUUCCUGGGCUGAUACUGACACUGAGGCGCGAAAGCGUGGGGAGCAAAC
rnacentral:rRNA from 1 species